GACGAACGCUGGCGGCGUGCUUAACACAUGCAAGUCGAACGGAAAGGCCCUGCUUGCAGGGUACUCGAGUGGCGAACGGGUGAGUAACACGUGGGUGAUCUGCCCUGCACUUCGGGAUAAGCCUGGGAAACUGGGUCUAAUACCGGAUAGGAGCCAUUUUUAGUGUUAUGGUUGGAAAGUUUUUUCGGUGUAGGAUGAGCUCGCGGCCUAUCAGCUUGUUGGUGGGGUAAUGGCCUACCAAGGCGGCGACGGGUAGCCGGCCUGAGAGGGUGGACGGCCACAUUGGGACUGAGAUACGGCCCAGACUCCUACGGGAGGCAGCAGUGGGGAAUAUUGCACAAUGGGCGCAAGCCUGAUGCAGCGACGCCGCGUGGGGGAUGACGGCCUUCGGGUUGUAAACUCCUUUCGCUAGGGACGAAGCUUUUGUGACGGUACCUAGAGAAGAAGCACCGGCUAACUACGUG
rnacentral:rRNA from 1 species